AGUGGCGGGAGCGGCCCCUCGGCCAUCCUCCGUCUGCCCAGUUACCGCUUCCGCUACCGC
rnacentral:pre_miRNA from 8 species